CACGCCGUAAACGAUGUGUGCUUGUCGCUGGGGGGUUUCACCCUUCGGUGACGCAGCUAACGCGUUAAGCACACCGCCUGGGAAGUACGGCCGCAAGGUUAAAACUCAAAGGAAUUGACGGGGACCCGCACAAGCGGUGGAGUAUGUGGUUUAAUUCGUCGCAACGCGAAGAACCUUACCAGGCCUUGACAUGCCCUCUAUGAGGUAGAGAGAUCUACUUCUUCACUUCGGGUGGGAGGAGCACAGGUGC
rnacentral:rRNA from 1 species